UACGUAGGGGGCUAGCGUUGUUCGGAAUUACUGGGCGUAAAGCGCACGUAGGCGGAUAUUUAAGUCAGGGGUGAAAUCCCAGAGCUCAACUCUGGAACUGCCUUUGAUACUGGGUAUCUCGAGUAUGGAAGAGGUGAGUGGAAUUCCGAGUGUAGAGGUGAAAUUCGUAGAUAUUCGCAAGAACACCAGUGGCGAAGGCGGCUCACUGGCCCGAUACUGACGCUGAGGCACGAAAGCGUGGGGAGCAAACAGG
rnacentral:rRNA from 1 species